rnacentral:rRNA from 1 species
AACGCUAGCUACAGGCUUAACACAUGCAAGUCGAGGGGUAACGAGAGGAAAGCUUGCUUUCCUUGUCGACGACCGGCGCACGGGUGAGUAACGCGUAUCCAACCUGCCCCCAACUAGGGAAUAACCUUGCGAAAGUAAGACUAAUACCCUAUAAUUUCCUCAGAUGUCAUCUGACGAGGAAUAAAGAUUUAUCGGUUGUGGAUGGGGAUGCGUCUGAUUAGCUUGUUGGCGGGGUAACGGCCCACCAAGGCAACGAUCAGUAGGGGUUCUGAGAGGAAGGUCCCCCACAUUGGAACUGAGACACGGUCCAAACUCCUACGGGAGGCAGCAGUGAGGAAUAUUGGUCAAUGGGCGAAAGCCUGAACCAGCCAAGUAGCGUGCAGGAUGACGGCCCUAUGGGUUGUAAACUGCUUUUAUACAGGAAUAAAGUUAGCCACGUGUGGUUAUUUGUAGGUACUGUAUGAAUAAGGACCGGCUAAUUCCGUGCCAGCAGCCGCGGUAAUACGGAGGAUGCGAGCGUUAUCCGGAUUUAUUGGGUUUAAAGGGUGCGUAGGCGGACGCUUAAGUCAGUUGUGAAAGUUCGAGGCUCAACCUUGGAAUUGCAAUUGAUACUGGUCGUCUAGAGAUUACAUAAGGUAGGCGGAAUUCGUGGUGUAGCGGUGAAAUGCUUAGAUAUCACGAAGAACUCCGAUUG